rnacentral:rRNA from 1 species
UAGGGAAUCUUCCACAAUGGACGCAAGUCUGAUGGAGCAACGCCGCGUGAGGGAAGAAGGUUUUCGGAUCGUAAAUCUCUGUUGUGGGUGAAGAAGGAUAGAGGCAGUAACUGGUCUUUAUUUGACGGUAAUCAACCAGAAAGUCACGGCUAACUACGUGCCAGCAGCCGCGGUAAUACGUAGGUGGCAAGCGUUGUCCGGAUUUAUUGGGCGUAAAGGGAGCGCAGGCGGAAUGAUAAGUCUGAUGUGAAAGCCCACGGCUCAACCGUGGAACUGCAUCGGAAACUGACAUUCUUGAGUGCAGAAGAGGAGAGUGGAAUUCCAUGUGUAGCGGUGGAAUGCGUAGAUAUAUGGAAGAACACCAGUGGCGAACGCGGCUCUCUGGUCUGCAACUGACGCUGAGGCUCGAAAGCAUGGGUAGCGAACAGG